rnacentral:rRNA from 1 species
GACGUAGGGCGCGAGCGUUGUCCGGAUUCACUGGGCGUAAAGGGUGCGUAGGUGGUUAGGUAAGUCCGAUGUGAAAUCUCCAGGCUCAACCUGGAAAUGGCAUUGGAUACUAUUUAGCUUGAGGAGUGGAGGGGGGACUGGAAUUCUCGGUGUAGCAGUGAAAUGCGUAGAUAUCGAGAGGAACCCCAGUGGCGAAGGCGAGUCCCUGGACACUUCCUGACACUGAGGCACGAAAGCUAGGGGAGCAAACAGG